rnacentral:rRNA from 1 species
CCUACGGGGCGCAGCAGUGAGGAAUGUUGGUCAAUGGGCGGAAGCCUGAACCAGCCAAGUCGCGUGAGGGAAUAAGGCCCUACAGGUCGUAAACCUCUUUUGCCGGGGAGCAAGGGCCGGGACGCGUCCCGGCCCGGAGAGUACCCGGAGAAAAAGCAUCGGCUAACUCCGUGCCAGCAGCCGCGGUAAUACGGAGGAUGCGAGCGUUAUCCGGAUUUAUUGGGUUUAAAGGGUGCGUAGGCUGGCUUUUAAGUCAGCGGUAAAAAUUCGGGGCUCAACCCCGUCCGGCCGUUGAAACUGGGGGG